rnacentral:rRNA from 1 species
UAGUCCACGCCGUAAACGAUGUAUGCUAGUUGUUGGUGUCCUUAGGGCAUCAGUGACGCAGCUAACGCGAUAAGCAUACCGCCUGGGGAGUACGGUCGCAAGAUUAAAACUCAAAGGAAUUGACGGGGACCCGCACAAGCGGUGGAGCAUGUUGUUUAAUUCGAAGCAACGCGAAGAACCUUACCUACACUUGACAUACCUAUCGGGAAUUGCAGAGAUGCUUUUCUUCGGUUCGGCCGGAUAGGAUACAGGUGCUGCAUGGCUGUCGUCAGCUCGUGUCGUGAGAUGUUAGGUUAAGUCCUGCAACGAGCGCAACCCUUACUGUCUGUUGCCAUCAUUUAGUUGGGAACUCAGACGGGACUGCCGGUGUUAAGCCGGAGGAAGGUGGGGACGACGUCAAGUCAUCAUGGCCCUUACGUGUAGGGCUACAAACGUGCUACAAUGGUUGUUACAGUGAGCAGCGAACCUGCGAAGGUGAGCGAAUCUCUAAAGGCAGU